GUGCUUGCUUGGGCUGCACAUAUUCUAAAAUUGGAAGGAUCCAGAAAAGAUUAGCAUGCCCCCUCUGCAAAGAUGACACACAAAUUUAUAAAGCUUUCAAUAUUUAA
rfam:Otolemur garnettii contig036458, whole genome shotgun sequence.